AUUGAACGCUGGCGGCAGGCCUAACACAUGCAAGUCGAACGAGUGGCGGACGGUUGAGUAAUGGCUGGGAAACUGCCCGAUGGAGGGGGAUAACUACUGGAAAAGGUAGCUAAUACCGCAUACCAUCGGAUGUGCCAAGAUGGGAUUAGCUGGUAGGUGAGGUAACGGCCUACCUAGGCGACGAUGCCUAGCUGGGCUGAGAGGAUGACCAGCCACACUGGAACUGAGACACGGGCCAGACUCCUACGGGAGGCAGCAGUUGGGAAUAUUGCACAAUGGGCGCAAGCCUGAUGCAGCCAGGCCGCGUGUAUGAAGAAGGCCUUCGGGUUGUAAAGUACUGUCAGCGGGGAGGCGUUACCCGCAGAAGAAGCACCGGCUAACUCCGUGCCAGCAGCCGCGGUAAUUC
rnacentral:rRNA from 1 species